CGGGACGGGUGAGUAACGCGUGGGUAACCUGCCCCAUAGAGGGGGACAACAGCUGGAAACGGCUGCUAAUACCGCAUAGCAGGGAAGAGACGCAUGUCUUUUCCUUCAAAGAUUUAUCGCUAUGGGAUGGACCCGCGUCUGAUUAGCUAGUUGGUAGGGUAACGGCCUACCAAGGCGACGAUCAGUAGCCGGCUUGAGAGAGUGGACGGCCACAUUGGGACUGAGACACGGCCCAGACUCCUACGGAAGGCAGCAG
rnacentral:rRNA from 1 species